UGUAAAGUAAGCUAAUUAAGCUUUUGGACUCAUGAUCCUCAUAUGGAAAAUUAAAUCUUCCCUUUACUU
rnacentral:tRNA from 1 species